UGAAGGAUGGAACCGAAGACCCGGUUGAGGUCUUUUCGUUGAGAGCUUGCUCUUGGAAAAGGAUUGAAGCCCCUUCCACAUUACCCAUGGUGUCGAGGGGAGCUCUUCGGGUGCAGGGAUGCAGACAAUCUUGACGAGGAUGUGGUUUUUAGCGGGCAAUAUACGCUCUUUGGGAUUAACUCGAGUGUGAAUGUGACUGAAUAUGUUGAGAGUCUGCGUCUGCUCGUCCAACAUUUCGGAUGAACCACCGCCUCAGGUUCCUGUGAAAGCCGCUCGCACUAAAUUCACUCUAUGGAAAUCACUAUUUCGUUCGGUCCUCAAGAAAUUAAAGAGUACAAGGGUUGAUAGACAGAACUGCGAUCUUUCCACCUGUUUUCCUGUUUGUUAACAACGACCUAUAUCUCACACUUUGGAUGAUCAUGGAGAAAGGUUUUGUCUAUGUUUCUCGUUUUCAUUUCGAUUGAGCACAAACUGAUCCUGCCUCUGUGGAUGAAAGACACGGCCACUUAACCGGAUGUCUUUCUCGAAUUCUUAACAAUGAAGAAGUAUCACAUGAGAAUUCAUACGAGGAAGUGCAUCCAGCAUACCAACGGCUGGGAGUAGGGUACGUAGUGUAGGAUCAAUGACAUGGCAGGUUGAUAGUUUUGUAAUUUAGUUUUACAACUGAGUCUGUUGUGCAGUCAGGAUUUAUACGUCUACGAUUUAGUACAAUUUAAUGUUGUUGAUAAUGUGCGGUUACUGCAGUAUUUACCGAAUUCUCUUUGUUAUGCAACAAAUGUACUUCGGUUAAAUUGACCCAAAACAGUACGUUUUUAUACGAUUUAUUUAAAGCUUUUGAUAAUGUGGGUUUCUGAAGACUAGGAGUUGGUUACCUAAGGAAUCGAUGAACAAUGAGGACGGUAUGAAUCCAUUUUGAUUACAAUGCAAAAUUAUUUAGCCUCUUCAGACAUAGAAAGCGAUAACUAUCUUGUUUGGUACGUAGGAUUAAGUUUGCGCUUCGGUGAUUCUUAAGGGUUUGGGCAUCUUCUGUUAUGGUGCAGUAGCUAUCGGAAUUGUUGCAGUUGACACGAAUGUCUAAUCUGAGCGCCCGUUUGAUAAUUUGUAUCAGCAAACCAUUAGCUCUGGUUUUUGUUCGUGACUUGAAGGCCAGUGAAGGCAAGUUGACUAGUGACAAGAAGUCUUAGGGGGACCAUGGACACUUGAGGCCUGUACAUAAGUACAUUGCUCCGCCCCUGCAAUCAGAGCGAAAUCUGUAAAAUCUUGUUCAGCUUCUCGGGGUUGCAGAGUUUGAGAAAGGUAUUGAGUCCGCAUUGAUUUCAAGUUUAUGAGGUUCAAACAAGCCUGGAAAUUUAUGGUACGGCGUGUUUCUUUUCUUAAUCUGGCUCGUAUCACGUUAACCUGUUUCCAACUCAGUCUGUUUAAGAUAUGUAGGCGGUAAGGUGGCAGCAGGUAGAGGUCGGUACCUGACAGAGGAUGGUGCAUUCCUUGAAAAAGGUCCGACCAAUUUCGAUAUUCAUUUUCUUAAGGAAAUGCGAAAUAUAAGGUAAUGCAGACGCCAUUUCUUAUGAGAAAAAAAUCUGAUGCAAAGGUGUGCUCAAUUAGCACAAUUCGACGAGGAAGUUUACAAGGUAAUGUUGGUAGCUAUUGCUGAUUUUUCGCUAUGCAGCCACUAGUUUGUGUUCAUUUACUAGACGGGAUUUGUUUUUGUAUCAGUUUUCUGCGUUUUGUCUCCUAAUGUCAGCAACUGACAUAAGAUCAAUUGGUAUCGAACAGGUAAGCACUGAAGGAGACACAAGUAUCUCGUUGCUACACCUGAACAGCCUCUUUCUGCAUAUCACGGAGUGGAUUGGAUCCAUCCGUCUCAACUACCGAUAAGAUAUGAUGGAGACUCGUUCUGUUUCCUCAAGGAAGCUGGCGCACAUGGGCGACACUUGGGUAUUUUUCGUGUCCAUCAGUUUGUGCAAGUUGAACAAUUCUGUAUCACCAGCCCGAAUGAUGACGACUCGUGGAACAUGCACGAGGAAAUGAUCAAAAGCUCCGAGGACUUCUGUAUGAGUGUCGUAACCGUUGCAUUUCUUGAAAGAUCAUUGUGGUUGGAAAUAUAUGAUUAGUGACCAAGUGACUUUUUCUAAGCUUGUUUAAUCCGAAUUUUGUGACGUUCAGCUAAGGAUCCCCUACCAAGCCAUGUCCAUAGUUUCGAAUGCUCUGAAUGGCUUCCGACAUCUUAGACAUACAGAGAGCUGGUGUCAUGUUCAAACCGCAGAGACUACCUGAAGAUCAGAAAUUCGAUACGGGCGCCAAAAUGAACAACAAAGAAACAAAGCAAUACGUUCACUUGUUGAACUCAACUCUUACAGCAGCCGAGAGAACUGUUUGCUGCAUUCUCCAGAACUACCAGAGGGAAGAUGGUGUGGGGAUACCAGAAGUUUUUACAGCCGUACAUGCAUGGAAACACAUUCCUCCCUUUCAAGAACAAACUUCCCCUCAAUCUCAAGCCAAAGGGAAGGGAAUCGAGAAAUCGAAAAGGGCCUAAAGUCGCCGGUUUGUGUAGACUUUCCUUGGUGAAAGGUGGGUUCUUGCAUACAGAGUGAUAAUAAUUUAUAGUGAAACUUUUAAGAAAUUUCGAAAUUCAAAUUCCUCC